GAGUGUAUGUUGUCAACAUAAUGGCCUAAUGCCUUGACAUUUUGUCAACAAAUGUUUGGUACCCACUUGGAUAUAGGUGCACUACGUGACGCUUUAAGGAUUCUGAAAUUUAAGAUCCGUCUUCAUCAAGGUUGGAACAUGAAAAUGUUGACUUAAGUAAAAGAAUAGUUUAUGCGUAUAACUUAUGUCGACAUACUUAUUUAUUUAUACAAAUUUUUUUUUUCAAAACUUCUGAAACCAACAAUAUAACAUAAACAUUUUAUUUACAUUUGUUUCAUUUGUUUUAGAAGGAACACGGCAGAGUGCUAGCUACACACAUGAAAGAAUACAAAACAUGAAAGGCGUAAAAAACGAUUUUUGUGUUUACCUCUUGAUCGUCAUAUUUGCGAUAAUAUUCUUUCCAAUCAGCAUUGGUACUUUAGUAG
rnacentral:sRNA from 1 species